rnacentral:rRNA from 1 species
AGCUCCCUGGUUGAUCCUGCCAGUAGUUAUAUGCUUGUCUCAAAGAUUAAGCCAUGCAUGUCUCAGUGCAAGCCGUAUUAAGGCGAUACCGCGAAUGGCUCAAUAUAUCAGUUUUGGUUCCUUAGAUCUUACUCAGUUACUUGGAUAACUGUGGUAAUUCUAGAGCUAAUACAUGCAAUCAGAACUCUGACCAGUGAUGGGAUGAGUGCUUUUAUUAGAUCAAAACCAAUCGACGGAUGGCCAUGUGUCUGAAGUCGUUAAUUUUGAUGAAUCUGGAUAACUUUUGCCGAUCGCAUGGUCCAGUACCGGCGACGCAUCUUUCAAAUGUCUGCCUUAUCAACUUUCGAUGGUAGUUUCUGCGACUACCAUGGUUGUCACGGGUAACGGGGAAUCAGGGUUCGAUUCCGGAGAGGGAGCCUGAGAAACGGCUACCACAUCCAAGGAAGGCAGCAGGCGCGCAAAUUACCCACUCCCGGCACGGGGAGGUAGUGACGAAAAAUAACGAUACGGGACUCUUACGAGGCCUCGUAAUCGGAAUGAGUACACUUUAAAUAUUUUAACGAGGAACAAUUGG